rnacentral:piRNA from 1 species
UGUUCCCAGAUGGACACGUGCUGUAC